UGGGUAACCUGCCUCAAAGAGGGGAAUAGCCUCCCGAAAGGGAGAUUAAA
rnacentral:rRNA from 1 species